GAUAGUGUAAUUUCACAUGUAUCAUUACUUUAAUGCAACCAAUGAAGGCCGUGACAAGUCGGUGGACAAUGCAGAGUCAAAGU
rnacentral:ribozyme from 1 species